rnacentral:rRNA from 1 species
GACGAACGUUGGCGGCGUGCUUAAUACAUGCAAGUCCACUGAAGCAGUGGUAGCAAUAUCGCUGUGGAGGUGGCGCACGGGUGAGUAACACGUAGGUAAUCUGCCUUCAGGUCUGGCAUAACUCCGGGAAACCGGGGCUAAUAGCAGAUGAUGCAGCGGCUCGACAUCGAGACAGUUGUUAAAGCUAUGGCGCCUGAAGAUGAGCCUGCGUCUGAUUAGCUAGUUGGCGGGGUAACGGCCCACCAAGGCAACGAUCAGUAGCUGGUCUGAGAGGAUGAUCAGCCACACUGGAACUGAGAUACGGUCCAGACUCCUACGGGAGGCAGCAGUAAGGAAUAUUGCUCAAUGGGAGAAAUCCUGAAGCAGCAACGCCGCGUGAGGGACGAAGGGCUUUUGCUUGUAAACCUCUGUAGUGAGAGAAAAAAAUCCCAAUCUUUGGGACAUGAUGGUAUCUCAAAAGUAAGCCCCGGCUAACUACGUG